UACAGAGGUCUCAAGCGUUGUUCGGAUUCAUUGGGCGUAAAGGGUGCGUAGGCGGUGUGGUAAGUCGAAUGUGAAAUCUCGGAGCUCAACUCCGAAACUGCAUUCGAUACUGCCCAUACUCGAGGAUUGUAGAGGAGAUCGGAAUUCACGGUGUAGCAGUGAAAAUGCGUAGAUAUCGUGAGGAAGACCAGUUGCGAAAGCGGAUCGUCUGGGCAACUCCUGACGCUGAGGCACGAAGGCUAGGGGAGCAAAACGGG
rnacentral:rRNA from 1 species